CUCUCCCGGGGUUUGUGGGGUCGCCGGCGCACCCCUCCCCAGCGCAGGGUCCCCGAGUUGGAGGCUGCGUCAGACUGCCCGGCCCUGCGCUCCUAGGCGUGUGCCACAGUCGCCCUGUGCCUCGGUUUCCCCGCCUGGAAAUGAGAAUGUCUGUUACCCUUUCGCACACGGGUUGUGGAGGAUAAGUGUUAGCCCUUGCCACACGAGUUGUUGCGAGGACUAAACGAUUUGGUGUAUUGUGCGUCUUCUGUCUGCAGCAGGGUAAACGCAGAACCUAGACCCUGGGCCGAAGGGACACUUGUCUGACCCCUUGCGCUUAAUCCGUUGAAGUGUCCGGGAUGACCCAUCACCAGCAAGGGGCUCCAUAAAAUGUCCCAAAGGGCUAUAGCAGUCAUUUACGGUUUUCCCUCUUUUAAACUUACGGAUUAUUGUACUUCACAUGAAAAUGGAUAGAAUGAAUGUUUUUAUAAGCCAUUCAUCUCACUUUCUGUGCAAUAAUUUUUAACGUUAAACGUAAAUACACUUUGCACUCUCAAAUUAGCCUUUGUUUCCACUCCGUAGAACUUGGAGUUUCAGUUUUGUGAACUUUUACAGAUAAUCCAUUUUUUAACGUUUACACUUGUUUUCUGUAUACACAUGAAUUCAUCGUUCUUGUUUAGAGUGUUUGAACUUGUUAGCAUUCAUCCUGAGAGUAUUGAUGGUAAAACAAUGGAAGCAUAACAGUAGGUGGUGACCUUGAAUACUCUUUGUGUUCCACCCACUGACUAUGCUGUUUUUUAGGUAUGCCUUCAUCAUUACUAAGUGAUGUGUAAAUACAGUUUACAGAGUGAAGAAAGGCAGGUGUCAAGUGACAGAACUAAAAUCUGAACCCAGAUAUUUUUGCCUUGGUUAAGAGCUCGGAUUCUUAACCGUUUCAGUAAACAGACUUUCAAAAGUUAAGAGGAGCCCUGGCAAACAAACUUUUGCAAAUUAAGUUUCAUAAUUCUCAGUCAUCCAGUAGCAGGAUCGACAUCAUUUUCAAAAUUAAACAUCUGGCUCGUGGUUUGUUGUCAUUUAGAUUUGUUACUAAAACCUAAGUGCUUUACUGGUUGAAGGUUUCUAGCGUUUUCUAGGUUAAAAGAACUAUGUCAUAGAGAUAGUGCUGCACAGUAAAGAUUGGACCCAGGGAUGAAAAUUCCUGGGUUUAUAUCCUGGUUUUGCCACUUAGUGGUUAACCUGACCUUACAUUUCAGUUGAUGUGUAAAACAGAUAGCUCACAGAGUUUUUGUGAGUAUAAAUGAAUGUAAUGUAACGCCCAUAGCUUCAGUAGCUAUUAGCUGUUGUAUUGUUGACCAUCGUGUUAUUUUUCCACAGUAAAUCUGAGGGGGAAACAAAAGGCACUUGGGUCUUAAAGUCAGUGCUGAGAUGGAGUUCUAGAGUAACAGACUGUAGGAAAGCCUAGCACUGUGCUCCCUCUGUUUUUGUGAGUGGCUUGGUGGUGCAGAGUGGUUAAGUGCUUGGCUGCUAAUCAAAAGAUUGUUGAUUCAAACCCACCAGCCUCUCUGUGGAAGAAAGAUGUAGGUAGUCAGCUUCCAUAAAGAUUACCGCCUUGGAGCCUUUAUGGGGCAGUUCUCCUCUGUCCUGUGGAAUUGCUAUGAGUUCGAAUCGAAUAGACAGCUUGGUUUUUUGGUUUUGUUCUAGUGGAACAGGCCUGAGUUCUUCAGUCAGGCCCCUGAGUGCCACAUGAGCAGGACAUAUCAGAGGUGGUGAGAACUGUGAUAACCUGUGUGAGGUACAGAGCAUGGAGGUGGGAUCCAGCCGUGUUCGCCUGGGUGGUUCACUGCAAUUUAGUGGUUCUCACAGCUCUUCCAGUUGUUCCUAAAGGUAAAAGUGGAGAAACUCCUCCCUGUCUCAAACCUUGGCCUGGAGACAAGGCCUCCGGCACAUUCAUGUUGACAUUUUCAUUGAUUCCGGAUGCCCUGGAGACUGGAAAACAAAAGGUAGCAUCAGAGACCUGUAAUUUUCUUACUUUGGAAAAGAAACAAAGUUACCUCAACAUAAACAGCAGCAGUCUCCCCCCCUCCCCCAAGAACCUUGCCCAUGACCUAAGAGUAAAUCAAACGUUUAAAUUCUCUGAAAAUCAUGUAAGCAAAGGAACUGUUCAUGUGCUAAGUGAGUACCUGCAAAGACAAUAGUGUGGUAAAGAUACAAGAAUACUCUACAAAGAAAUCCACUUGUUGGAGCAUCUGCCUGCCACCUGCAAAGAAUAAUCCUGAUAGAUUUAACCAAAAAAAAAAAAAAGAUAGUGAAGUUCAUUUGAUGGGAAGGUAAUGCACAAACACCUCAUUUUCCCUAGAAAACCUCUAGAGACAUCUGGUGCAAAUGCAUCAAAACUCGAAGAAAACUGUGUGUGUGAGAGUGUGUGUGAAAGAGCAAGAGCGAGAGGUGAAGCUGGAACAGAUUUGUGUUGUUAGUUGCUGUGGAAUUGAUCCCAACUCAUGGCGACCCCAUGUGUUUAGCAUUGUAAAUAUCAAAAUUGCCCUACAGGUUCCUUUAAUAUUUUCAGCUGUCUAAUCAGAAAGACCAACAUUCUUCCCGAUAAUGUCAGAAAAUAUCAGUUUAUGAGAUAUUUUUAGACUCCUUGUAGAAGCUUUGGUUUCUAGAAGCAUGCAGCUAUUACAGCACUUACAUGGAAAGAUGGAGGGGAGAUGCUGAGACCACUAGAGCACAGGACAUUGGCUCUCUAGAUGAUGUGACAAAGAUGGCUGGCUCAUAAAGCUGGUGAGAUAUUACUUUAGGCAAGAGAAACAAUUUGGCCAUUAACAAUGAAUAAGCCAAACCAUUUUGUCAUCAAAUAGAGUAAAACUAAUUAAAAGUACAACAAAAAUUAAGGCAGAUAUAAACAUUAAAAUAACAGGAAAAAGUUAAACCCUAUCAAACAUGCCAAAGUGUAGUUAUGGCAGCAAAUCUUAAGCUAGAAAUAAAUUGAAGGGAAUAAAAAGGAAGAAUUCUGAUACACCAAAGAAAGUGUGAAUAAAGUUUUUUACUAAAGCAGUAAGUUUUUCAGAAACGUUCAAGGAGGUUGAUGACUACCUGGGAUGAACUCACGAUUAGAUGGAAGAGUUGAUUAUAACCCUUCAAACUCUAAAAUUCACCAGUUUGUCUUCUAGAUAGCCUGAUAUGUGCCCUGGAUAACGAAUCUUGGGCACUAGCCUUAGACACAAGCAGGUCACGUGGCCUUUCUAGAGACCAGUCCCGUGGAAUGAUACCAUAGCUGGCUGAGACCGGUUUCAGUUUAUCUCCUGGAACUUGGGAUUGGGAUAUCCUGCCACUAAAUAAAAUUGAAGACUUGUUGGCAGAGGAGAAAGGGUGGAUGGGAUGGUUGUUGGGAAGACAGUGGAUGAAAUUGGCCACAGGGUGAUGUCAGUUGUAACCUUCUAGACAGAACCUGAGCACUCUAAUCCUGGUGGAAGUACCCAACAUAUGCCUGCCAUCUCACGUCUCGGAUGAAAUGGCGCAGUCCUGCUGUUUCAUGAAGACCUCCUUGCAGUCCUCCCAGUUGUGUAGUUUCUCUGGAUCUGGGAGUGUGCCUUGCUUUUGCUUUUGGGACACUCCAAAGCUGUGCAAAUACGAGAGUCCUGUCCCUGAAUCCCAGUCCAGUGAUGGAGGCCUUGCUGCUGCUUGUUGCCAGGUCUCUCUGAUGCUGCCUUUUGCCUCAAAGUUUAGUCUACCUGUGAGAUUUUUUAUUCCCUUGCCCGAGCUGCUUGUCAGGCUACUUUGAUCUGUACCUAACAGACCUUUAACUCCUGUGUGGAUUGCUCAGAGGUAUUUUAAAUAAUUUUGCUUCUCAGUUUGCCAGUUAAGGCAAGGUAAUAUAGGGUAAUAACAAUAUUUGAAUUCUUUAACUUGCAUAUUUUAACCCAUGUAAUGUUGAACACUUAAAGCUAUGCUGAAACUUAAAAAAUUCUGUUUGAGUUGCACGUAAAGAUAAGGUAAUAGUAUGUAUGAGAAUGGGCAUGGUGUAUUUUCAGCCAUUUCCCUUUCACCAAUUGUUUUAAAAUAGAUUUCCUACUUGUUCUUGGAGGCCUGGUGGCGUAGUGGUUAAGAGCUCGGCUGCUAAUGAAAAGGUUGGCAGUUCAAAUCCACCAGCUGCUCCUUGGAAACCCUAUGGAGCAGUUCUACUCUGUCCUAUAGGAUUGCUAUGAGUCAGAACCGACCUGAGGGGCCCUAGCAACGACAACUUGUUCUUAGGAGUCCCUGGGUGGUGUGAAUGGUUGAAUGCGCUGGCUUGCUAACUGAAAGGUCAAGUCUACCCAGAGCCGCCUCAGGAGAAAGGCCUAGUGAUCUGCUUCCAGAAGGCUGGGAAGCCAUUGAAGAUCCUAUGGAGCCUGGUUCUACUCUGACACACGAGGUCGCCGUGAGUCGGGCUCGACUACGUGGAAACUGGUGCUGAUAACUUGAUCUUCUUUGAAGCUUGUUUUGGUAGAAUUCUUUAGUAUUCUUGUAGAGUGUCAACAGUGUAAUACAUUAAAAUCUUUUCCCUGAAGUAGCCAAAUUACUGUUCUGUUUUUCACUUUUCUAGAAGAGACUGAGUUUGAGAAACAUUGCGUACUGGUUGCGGAAAGCCAUACUGAAAGAAAUGCAGGCUAGGAGAGAAGCUCUUGGAGCCCGUGAGAUUUAUUCAGUGGAGCACCUACCGGAGAUAGCACGUGGUAGUCGCUGGAUUGUUGAAUGAAUUCAGAUUACCAUGGAAUAACUUGGAAAUGGUUGAGCGAAGAUAAGACUGGGAUAGGAUUCUGGACUUAAUAGAAGGAUGUUUGAACUAAAAAAUGGUUGUAAGGAGGGCGUUCGUGAUUGCAUAUUUGAAAGGGUUUUAAAAACAAAAGCAGUUACAUUUCUUAUGUGAGUUAAAACUCAUUGAAGAAUGUACACAAUGUCAUUCUAGUCGUCUUAAACUCCACUAGCAUCUGGAUAAAUGGCAUAGAAAUAGCCUAUUGACAAAAUUCAACACAGAUUAUAGUUUAUAAUAUGUUAAAUAGCCUAUUAAAGAAAACAAAUGCUGUCAAAGUGUAAUAAAAAUGUAAAUAUAUUCAUUACUCUGUUGACAGCCAAAAACAUUCAGCUUUUAAUGUACAUCUCGGAGGAUUUGCCAGGUAACACUGUUCAGUGGGUCGUGUAAGGAGUAAUUACUUUUUUGAGUUCAUCAAAGACAUGCCUAAUGAAGAGUUCACUUAAAAUGCAGACUACAAAAUGGGGUCUCAGCAAAGCUGUAAACGUUAUUCAUUGGUUUCGUGAGGGCCCUGAAAACUGGAAGUAGACCAGCCACCUGCAGCCAAGUUAAAGAAAGCUAGAGAAUGAUUGUCAUGGUUGUAUCCUUUCACCGUAUUUAUUCAGUCUGUUGGCUGGGCAAAUAACCUGAGAACCUGGACUAUAUGAAGAACUGGGCAUUGAUAAUUGGAGGAAGACUCAUUAACAACCUGCGUUAUGCAGAUGAUACAGCCUUGCUCACUGAAAGUGAAGAGGACUUGAAGCACUUACUGAUGAAGAUCAAAGACCACAGCCUUCAGUAUGGAUUAUACCUCAACAUAAAGAAAACAGAAACUCUCACAACUGGACCAAUAAGCAACAUCAUGAUAAUCGGGGAAAAGAUUGAAGUUGUCAAGGAUUUCAUUUUACUUGGAUCCACAGUCAACACCCACGGGAGCAGCAGUCAAGAAAUCAAAAGACGCGUUGCAUUGGGCAAAUCUGCUGCAAAAGACCUCUUUAAACUUUAAAAAUAAAGAUGUCAUCUUUAAAGCACGCCUGACGCAAGCCAUGGUGUUUUCAGUUGCCUCAUACGUGUGGAAAAGCUGGACAUUGAAUAAGGAGGACUGAAGAAUUGACGCCUCUGAGCUACGGUGUUGGUGAAGAAUGUGGAAUAUACCAUGGACUGCCAGAAGAAUGAACAACUCUGUCUUGGAGGAGGUAUAUCCAGGAUGCUCUUGAAAAGCAAGGAUGGUGAGACUGUGUCUUGCAUAUUGCGGACUUGUUACCAGGAGAAAUCAGUGUCUGGAGAAGGAUAUCAUGAUUGGUGAAGUAGAGGUUCACUGAAAAGGAGCAAGACCCUCAACGAGAUGGAUUGACACUGGCUACAAUGGGCUCAAGCCUAACAAUGAUUGUGAGGAUGGCGCAGGACCGGGCAGCGCGUCGUUCUCUUGUAUAUGGGUUCACUGUGAGUCAGGACUGACUCAACGGCACCUAACCACAAAAGAGUAGGAUUAAAGUAAAAAUGACUCCUUAUGGACUGUUCUCACUCUCUCCCCUUCCCGCUGUCUUUCCUCUCAGCCUCUUUUUAAAGCUUUUAUUUCACCCCUUCUUUUCUUCCAGCCCCUUUCCUUUCUGUGGAUCUCCAAUGAAUCUGUCUAUUGAGAAACAUGGGUUCUGGAAACAGAUUUUUAAAUGGACUGAAGAGACCUACUACAAGUUCUCAAGUUUCUCAGAAUCAUUUGUUCCUUUGACUAAACCACUACUCUGUUUUAGCCCUGCCUCAUCACAGAACCUUCUAAGGAUAGACAGGUUUUUUAUGUGCAACUCUGUCAAUAAGUUACUUAUUCAGAUAUGUUCAUGCUUUUUUUUUUGACAAAACUAAACAACAUAGAAACCCAAUCAAAAACUAGUUACCAAAUGCUCAUUGAUGUAGGGUUGUGUGGUAAUUGCUUGGUAAGUGCUUUCUCUGUCAUAGAAGGGUAUAAGGGCAAGGGCUGUGGGUCAUGGGCAUUUUAUCAAUGGGACGUAGCUAGCGUGGAUUUUAAGUCAGCUUUGGCCUUUGUGAGUAGUGGAGGGUAGGAUCCUUGCUUGGUGAAUGGCGGAGUCUGGAGAGUGUCAGACUCCCUGUUGUAAAGCAAUGUGUUUGCCAGACAGGCAUUAUUGCUAAUUUCCAAUACUUUGCGUUUGUGUAGACCAGUCUACCCAAAGUGUGUUUUUUAAGUUUGUAGUUUUGAACUGAAAAUGUAUUUUCUCAUGGAACAAAGUUAUAAUGCUGGUGAAGGUCUCAGACUAGCCCGUUCAAGCCCAUUUAAUGCAUAACCUAGCAGAAUUGUAAGGCUUCUGGUAUCAUAGAUUGUUCUUGGCUUUUGAGACCCUGGCAGGAAGUGUGAAAUGAGGGCUCCAGAAGGGGCAGUAGUAGCAGGCUUGAAGGCAGUAUUUGAGGCGUGGCACUAAACGGGGUGGCCUUCUGUAGGCAUGGGCCCUGAGUCCAGUGCUGAUGAGUAGAUAUUUUUAUGCUGUGUGUUCUAACCAUUUUAUCCUCUCUGGGCCUAGUUUUAUGUAUAAAGCUCUGCUUGCCCAGUAACUCGUAGGCUGCUUUGUAGUAUUUUAGUUUUUUAUUUUUCUUCUUCACGUGUUCAUUGUGCACGAGCAAUUGUAACUUUCAGUUUUGAAAAGCUAAUUUUAAUGUGAAGCUGAGCGAAUGUUCUCAAAGAUGCCUGAAACAUGUUGGCAGCUUUUUCUUUGGUGAAAAUUACUUUAAUUUCUUUUUAUCUUUGUUCAGAAUCUUAAGCUUUUUAAAUAAGAACUAAUUUUCAGAAGCGCUGUUCUUUCCCAUAAUGUCAGAAUGCCGCAUGGUGAUAGCAGGUGAAAUUUUCACUAAAGGUUGAAAAGUAAUUCUUCUCCUGUUUUAAUGGCAACUCUGUCAAACUAGGUGGGUAGAAUGAUGCAAAUCUUGUGGGCUGUAACCAUUACUAUCCUACACAUGCAAUUUCAGGUGUAUUCAAUCUUUAUGCAAUCCUGAAAUGUAGGCAGCUGGUUUGAUAGUUUGCACAAGCCAAGGUUUUGAAGUUUAUUUUUAUCGAAAGUUCCUGUGUAUACAGUUGGUUUUAAAAUGUGAAGCUUUAAAAUGUGAGUUCCUCCAGAGUUAAAUUCUAUGCCUGUGAGUGCCUUUACCCUUUACAGGAGUGAUAACACAGUGAGCUGGGCUCCAAGUAAAAGCACUCAGGGUUUCCCAUCCAUGGAGUUUUCUGCUCUCCAGUGGAAUGGUGGUAUGGAGUUUCUUCCAAACGCUGUAACUUUUACAGUCUCUUCUUCUUCUGUCCCCAAACUUGCCUACGUUGAUAACACUGGUCACCCCCUAAGAGUACAUGAUUUCUUCGCUGUAGCGGAAACAGCGGUCUAGGGGUAUUGGUGCUCAGAAGCAAGCUUUGGCUGGUGGCCAGUGACCAGAAGGCAACCAUUGGAAUCUGGUUUAUUCUAUCUGCAAGUCUCUGCUGGGCCCUGGAUGUUGCGUCAUCAGUUUGAGAUUGAAGUGGUCUUCUAAAUUCCCGUUUGACUUUUCCACUCUUUAGGUUUGCCCUGCACAUCCUGAAUGUGGCCUUGUAGGAUGGAUGCCCCUCUGUUGUUAUUCUCCCUCAGUUCUUCAAGUUUCCGUACUAUUAUUGAGGUGUUCAAGCAUGGUCUUCAUGGCCUCUUCUUGCAAGAACCCAGAGAUCUACUGUAUGGGUGGUUGGAUUAGGCUGUGUUCAUGUGGAACCAGGGCCCUAUGGCCCAGCUUGCCUCUUCAGAGCGGCAGUGGGCACUGGUCAGUGGGGCAGAUGAGGUCUGUGGUCACAGCAAGCUGCCGUGGUGACAAAGACCUCUGAUUUGGCCACAACAAUGUUUCAUUUGGUAAACGAGCAAAGGAGGGGUGAAAUAUGCCAAAGUCUCAGAGAUGCUGGUUGACCAGGGUUUCGGGCUCCAUGGUCUGCAUGGACAGAGGUCCCUCAGAGCUGCUGUGACGGGGUAGGAGUAGUUCAUAUGAAAAAGUGGUGGGCUCUUCAUUUAGGAUCAUUACAGGUACAGCAGAAUAUCUUGGUGUUUAUCUCUGUACCCUCGAGUAAGCCCCUUGAGGAGCAGUGAGAACGUGAGCAGCGACAAACUUUGAAGUGUAAUGCUAAAACAAGGCCCAGCAGUGUCUGGGAUUGUAUGCAGUGCUGCGUUCUUAAAGGAAGAGGCUUCAUGGAAGUCGCAUGUAGGGCUGGAGAUUUUCAGCGAUUUCAGGUUUCGAAAGAAAGUCUUUUUGUAUAAUGUGAAACUUUUAUAAUAUACAGAAAUUAAAAAAAAGAAACUACUUUUCUAGAACUGCUGCAGGGCCUAUGUAGAGCAGUGAGCACCGUUUGCUAUGUAAAUAUUUUUAUUUGGAGCCUCCAGUGAGUAUAUUUGUUUGUGUGGAAUCUGCUUUGAAUUGAGUCGCACACCAAAUUGCAGGAGGGCAGAUUAUUUUAAUGGGAUUCCAUCAUGCAGGAGUAAAUACUAGCUUACUGGCUUUCUUUUACAGUCAGAAUUUUCAUUACUAUAAAAUGUCACUUAAAAAAAGAGCCUUAUGUAAAUUUGAUUGGUUGUUUAUUAACAAUUGUAGAAGCAUGGACUUGGUGAACUUACUGAGGAAAGAGGAUCUGUGUGGUUACGUGUUGCUUGCAUUUGAUUAUGUUAACUUGGGACUACUAUACUGAUUGUUCAGUGUGCACAAAUGUACUUCAGAAAUAUUACUCUUAAGUUAUAAUGGAAUAAGAGUAUUUUUUAAAAAUAGACUUUGAGAUUAAAGUCUUUUUCCUCCAAAUUUUAGGUGAAAGGAUUGAAGUUUUAUGUUGCAUUCAGUUAUGUUACAAUUUGCAUAAUGCUGAUUGGUAGGGGUUGGAGGUAAAAAUGUAAAUUAGAUUUUGCAAUCAAGAGUGGUACAACUUGGAGAUUUUUUUUCCCUGAAAUUUAGGAGUAGAUUAUGUAAAAACAUGGGAAAUGAAGAACACAUCAGUCUACAGAAACUUGCAAAUUAAGGGAAAAUAACAUUUUAAAAAAAGUAUAAUUUUGUAGUUUUGUAAUAAAUGUAGUGAGGCUAAUAAUACACUAGCCAGUGCCACCCGUAUCUACAAGUCUUUAUUUUUUUCUGUAGUAUUUUUUUUGGGGGGGGGGGUAUUUAGAUAUGUUCAAACUAACUGUAAGCAAUUAUUUUGAUACCUCUGUUGACAGAAAAGGUGCUGAAGCUCCAGGUAGCUUCGGUUCUGGUCGCUGGGUGUGGGAAAACAGUAUGAAGGUAGCUCAGGGCAGCCGCCUAAUUCAUUGGCAGGAGCAAACCACCUGCGUUUCAAAGUGCACUUGGUUACUGUGGCUGCCUGUCACUGACCUGUUCAGCCUCCUACUGUCAGCUCAAAACUGAAGAAAGCCUGCCAAUUUUAAAAAAUAGGCCAAAUGAACCUCUUGCAUUUUUUAAGUGUACCUUAAUUUGUUUUUGAGUUUGUAGCCAUUCUUUUAAAAACGUUUUUCUGAUUGAGUUGUCAUAACUGGAAACAUGUUUCGCUUGAUCAGCCUUCGCGUAUCACAGGCUCCCCUGUAACCCGCACUCACACCAUGUGUUGCCGGGCAAGGCUUCCCAGCUCGGGACCAAGUCCUGCCUCUGUUCUUGCCUUUUACUGACCAAGAGAGGCUCAGAGGUUCCACACAACACAAACAAAGGUUUAUUAGUGACAGAAAGAAAGCAGAGGCUCGCAAGGGAUGGAGAGGGGCUUCUGCCUCCACUAGCCUCCAGUCUCCCCUUGAGCAGGGGUUUUCCUGGAAUUUAUAAAGGGUUUUAGGUGGGAAGGAUCUCAUGUUUUAUUCAUUGCUUUUGGGGUAAAAAGGCGGGGCUUUCUGGGAAAUAGAGGGGCUAAGAAAUUAGGUGCAUGGGCAUCUGGAAUCCAAGGUGGGGUCAGUUUGGACAGUGUCACGUCACCACUGCGCGGUCCUGGUGGGCACUUAACAAGACUGUAAGGUCGCACCCAUUCUCACUGCAUGUGCCCCGGGAACCCGCUGAUUCUGUUUAUCUUUGGAAAACAGCUCGUAGGGAAGAUAUGUGGAACUUCAUGUGUCAGAGUCCAGGAUGUGAGUUAUCUUGUAACACCACCCUCUAUGGUGGGGUCCUGAAAAACAACUUACAAAAGGAAGAUGCAGGAAGCCACUCCUAUUGUGGGGUCCUGAAAAACAACUUACAAGAGGGAGAUGCAGGAAGCCACUCCUGUGGUGGGGUGCUGAAAAACAACUCGAGACAGGAAAUCGAGUCAAGCGGAGAUACUACUGCCAAGACUGCUCGCCAAGGGGGGGCAGAGCAGAGAAGAAUGAAGAAAACCAAAGACACAAGGGAACAAUUAGUCCAAAGGGCUAAUGGACCACGUGAGCCACAGCUCUGCCAGCCUGAGCCCAGAAGAACUAGAUGGUGCCCAGCUACCACCACUGACUGCUCUGGCAGGGAUCGCAAUAGAGGGAAUUUGAAGUAUUGUCUUUUGAUUCUCAACCAGCCUUUGGACAGCUGUUUUCGUCGUCUUUGGAGCAAAGCUGUGUUAAAAGCCUGUGCUGAUGGAGGUGCCAACCGCUUAUAUGAUGUCACCCAAGGCGAGCGGGAAAGCUUUUUGCCAGAAUUCAUCAGCGGAGACUUUGACUCUAUCAGGCCUGAAGUUAGAGACUUCUACAGAGCUAAGGGGUGUGAGCUCAUUUCAACUCCUGAUCAGGACUACACUGACUUUACCAAGUGCCUCCAAUUGCUCCAAAGGAGGAUAGAAGAAAACAGCCUGCAGGUUGAUGUGAUUGUGACUCUGGGUGGGCUCGCGGGACGUUUCGACCAGAUCAUGGCGUCUGUGAGCACGCUGUUUCAAGCCACCAGGAUCACUCCUCUGCCAGUCAUAAUCAUCCAAGAGGAGUCUCUCGUCUACCUGCUCCAGCCGGGCAAGCACAGACUGCACGUGGACACUGGCAUGGAGGGUGACUGGUGUGGCCUCAUUCCUGUCGGGCAGCCAUGCAGCCAGGUGACCACAGAGGGCCUCAAGUGGAACCUCAGCACAACCCAUGUUGAAGGCUUUAAGCUUUGACCCUCACCAGUAAGUGCUUCAAGUGGUCUUUUCGGCAAGCGCUGAAAACUGCGUUACUUAUUCCAGUGGCAAGCCUGCCAGGAGAGAGAAACAGGUGUGGGCAAUUUACAUGUGACAUACAAUUAAAAAAUGCAAGUUGAAACCAAAGCUGAUUUUCUAUAGAUAAGGGUAAAGAAGUUUUAUUUCCAACUGUCUUGUGUGCUACUUGGUAUUUACCUUGUGGCUAAAAUGGAUAAUGCUCUGUAGAUACACUAUGGGGGGCGUGGGGGAAGGGAAUCUGGCUUGUGCUUGUAGGACAAAGUGCAGGACAGACAUGGUGGCCUCCCCAUCGUGCAGAAUCAUUGCUACAGCAACACUGAUGUGAACAGGAGCACAGCCCUCCCCCAGCUUCCUGUAACGUGAGUGGCUUUGAGCUAAAUGAUCCUGACACCCUCUCACCUUAGCACCAGACCUUCUAUGCCAUUUGUUCUCUCCUCCUGAGCCCUGCUGAGAGCAUCUGAGGGUCCUGCACACAGCCUACUUUCCCCGUAAGAUGUGACCUCCCCUCACACCCCCGGCACUCCUGGAAGUGCCGUCUCUUUAACAUGUCUCCCUGCCAACAUUCUUCUCAUCAUUUUCAAGGGCCAUUUCAAGUCCUGUCCUCUGUGACGCUUUCCUCAGACCCAGGGAACGUGGUCUCUCUUUCCUGUGACGUGCACAGUGCGCCUGGGGCUCUCUGUGUCUGUGCGCUUCUUACGGCCUUUAUUAGAAGGCAGCGCCUCAAGGCUUUGGUCCUUCCGGUCUUCAUCCAUGGCUCCUCAUCCAGACAGCGCCUUUUUAAAUGAGUUAAUGCAUUUUACCCACAGGAGUUCUGUAGUCAGGCGGCAUACAUUGCACAAGUGAUGGUAAAAGAUGUUGAGGCAAGAGCUCUUUUUCCCAGUCCCCUAAGACAAUAGUAAAGAAAACAUCAAAUUUUAAGGGUGAAAAUAGUUAUAAGUCCAUCCAGAAGUUGAUAUGUUUUAAAAUUAUGUUACCUACAAAAAAAAAAAAACAAACCCAGUGCCGUCGAGUCGAUUCCGACUCAUAGCGACCCUAGACUGUGAAUAUUACAAAAGAGGUUUAAGUAUAGUGUGUGUGUGCAUGUGUUGUGGUGAAUGUGUGUGUGUGUGAAAUCAGUGUUAUGUGAAAAUGGAAGACGACUACAUCAGAUCACACAACGGAGGAUGACUAUAUCAUUACACAACCACCAAGUUAUAGCAUUACAUAACUGUCAAGUUACAUCAUUACCUAACUGCCAAACCACUGAGAAUCGUGGCCCCGCCAAGUUGACACAUAACCUUAAACCAUCAAAGCCAGCGUUCCUCUCACCUCAGCAUUUGUUACUGCCGAUGUACAUCGUUAAUGUGCAAAAUAGCUAGAUCUUAGAUUUUUUACUGUUGUCAUAGAUGGAAAAUGUCAGAUAACGAGAUAGUCGAUAAGUAAGGAGGUGUAUUUUGUAUGUUUAUUUUACCCACUUAAUUAGAUUUUGUACUUCUUUGGUUUGUGGUCCUUUAGGUAAUAGUCCUGCCCUACUUGGUAAAAUCCUUUAUACCAGACACUUAAUUGGCAUUAACCAAUAAUAGGAUUCUUUAUCAAAUCUCCUUUUUCAUAUUCAGACCUUACGUAUUCCUAUAGCAUUACAAACUACAAGAAAUAACUAAGGAAGUGGCUACUUAGCCUUAGGAAAUGGUCAUAGUGACUGGAUGGUAAAAAAAAAAAAAAAAUAGUGGAUCCUGCAAAAAAGGCAGGAACAGUGAGCAAAGCCGGAAGUGGAAGGAUUGCGUAGGCUCCUCAAGAAGGAAGCUGCCAUCUAAAGAGAUUAGUGAGUAGGGCCAUAUGCAAAGGAGAGCAGAAUUACUGGGUGUUACUGAAGGAAUAUAUUGGUCACUCUUGAAAAAUGCAAAAAAGGCUUAUCAGCAUGUUAGGGACAGAAGCCAGCUUUCUGCUCUUUAAGAUGGUUAACAAGGAGUUGAGUAGAUGUUGACAGAACAGCUGUGCAGACUGAAGCUUGUCAGAACCACAGGAAGAACUGCAGGUGUGGAGGGCUCAUGUCCAGGAGGCCUUUAAGUCCAAGACACAGGACGUUCACUCAUGGUGAAGGGCCAGAAGGAGCUGGGAAACCCCAGAGAUUCAGGGAGAGAUGGACAAUGUGGGGAGAGGACAGGUGGUGUGUUGAUGUGACACCCUGAGGAGACUGAAGAUGGAGCCUGGGGGGUGGGGGUCGGAGAGAUGGGUGCCUACGUCCUCUCAAAUGAGAGGUGCUGAGGUAGGCAUUACGGUGAAGACACUUAGAGGUGUGAGAACUAACGAUAACCAGCCCCAGUCUUUACCACUAAGAGGUCCAUGGCAUGGAUGACUCCAUGAUAUACAUAUCAUGGACAGCUUGUGAGAAAUACCAUGGGAGUACAUUUUGAACAGCAUCAAGGACCAGCUGUUGAACAGCAGGUUUCCUUUUCUGAGCUUCUCCCUAGAGGUACCCAAGGAGGUUGUGAGUGUGGGUGGUGUGGACGAGGCAGCAGUCCUCCAGUGCCAUGGAGACGCAGUCAGUUGUAAAUUAUGCUGUGGAGUUCCUGGGCAGCAGAAACAGUUCCGCACUCGGCUGCUAACUGGAAGGUUGGCAGUUCAAGUCCACCCAGAAGUACUUCCGAAGAAAGGCCUGGUGAUCUACGUCUGAAAGAUCAGCCACUGAAAGCCCUGUGGAGCACAGCUCCGCUCUGAUACACGUGGAGCUGCUGCGAGUCGAAGCUGACUUGAUGGUUAAGUGGUGACUUGUAGGGUGGGAUCAGAGAGAACGCCUGAGACAAUUCUGUAGUGAUAAUUUAUACCAGGGGAGGUCUCCUCUAUUUCAAAGCACGGUUAGCUAAGAGCUCCUUGGAAGGGUCCCUCAAAACAAAAGCCUUGAAGGGCCAGUUCCCACUGACGUCCAGUUCUGUUCUAUUCACAAGGGCUUCUCCUUGAAUCCAGGAAUGUCCCUUUCUGUGGAGCCCACCAGUGGACAACAGGUUCUGAACUUGCAUCCACCAUAAAACCAAAUCCUCAUGUCCAUAGGGCUGACACUGUCAGACUGGGCCCUGGAGUUCAAGGCCAGGGACUAGAAUGGGACAUGUAUCUGGUACCUUGAAACCCAUACUCACUGCUCUGAACCCCACCUCAUUUUCUAGGCUCCUUCAAAACAACCGUUGCUUCUGGGAGGUUCCCUGUACUCUCAGGUAGACAGGAUCUUCAUAGCAGGUUGUGCUUCUUUAAAGCACUUGUGCCCUUGAAGUGUAAGACUUUGUUUAUUAUCUUAUCCCCUUUCCCUAACCAGAUCAUAAACUCCUCAGUGGCAGACUCUGAUCCUUAAUUAUUCCUCUGUGCCCUAAAACACUGUCACACGUCCUAGACAUUAAUGCAUGAGUGUACUCUGGUGAAGCUUGGAAGGAAGAGGGCAACAGUCCUAUAUGUCACCUCUGCUGUCUACUAGGCAUGUGAUCCCAGAAAAGGUGAUUCGUUUCUCUGAGCCUACAUUUUCUCGUCUCAAAAACUGAAAAUAAUAAUAGAGAAGAUAAUAGCUACAACCACGUUCUAGGACUCUUGGAAGCAUUAAAUCAGAUGGUGUAUACACAACGCUUGGAUAUCAUCAUGGUGAUGAUUUUUAUGAGUACCCAAAGUAUCAGCUCCCAAGAGAGUCGAAGCUUGGCCCACCUCAAGAGCCUGUCAGGGAUUCUAAUAACGAUGACAUUCCUAAAUACGGACGGCCGUGGGGCCAGUGAAUGAACACGGUACCCCCAAUUCAGCUAUGAACCCAAGCCUACCUCCUUAAUUAAGAAAAAGUUAAUGGUGUAAAAUCACUUCUGAAUCUUAUAAAUAGGAAAUUGGAUUUCCCAAUGGGCAAUUUUAAAUACUUUGGGAACAUAAAUACACUGGCAGCACUCAAGCUGUAAGUUGGCGACGCAGAGAACACGGGCAAGGAGCCCUGAAAUAAGCAACAGCAAAUGGCCACUUUAGCUCUUAAAGAGCAAAUUGCAGAAAAUAAAUUAAUUCACUUAAAUAUGCAUGAGGCUCCCGAGUAGGGGACGUUUCCCCCGUGUUGUGCUUUCUGAAGUAUUAAUAAUG